CAGAGGGUGCGAGCGUUAAUCGGAAUUACUGGGCGUAAAGCGCACGUAGGUGGCGACGUAAGUCGGGUGUGAAAGCCCCGGGCUCAACCUGGGAAUUGCAUUCGAGACUGCAUUGCUGGAGUACGGAAGAGGAGGGCGGAAUUCCCGGUGUAGCGGUGAAAUGCGUAGAUAUCGGGAGGAACAUCAGUGGCGAAGGCGGCCCUCUGGUCCAGUACUGACACUCAAGUGCGAAAGCGUGGGAGCAAACAGGAUU
rnacentral:rRNA from 1 species